GUCACUGUAAUGGUUGCUAACGAUUUGUUAGCUGUUGAUUAAUGGAAGAAAAACCCAAUUUUAAAAAAAAGAAAUCUUGUACCAGUUGCGCGAUCGAGCUCUUCAGGCCUUGAGGACUUGUUUAGUACAAAUAUUGUUUAAUUAUAGAGUAACUAAGUUCAAAAAAUUCAUCUAAUAAAUUACAGAUAAAUUAUAUAAUU
rnacentral:lncRNA from 1 species